rnacentral:lncRNA from 1 species
AUUUCACUGUUUUUUAUGGCUGAGGCUACCCAUUGCUUGAAGCCAACCAGAAGACAGAGGACAAGGCUUCUUGUUGGUUUGAUCCAUGAACCUGGACACAGAACAAGGGGAGGACAGAUGGAAAACAUCCCUGGAGGCCAUCUUGAAGGUCUCCAGCAUCAUUUCGUGUGGAGCCCUAAGGAGUUAAAAGAAAACUUAAAGAAUGGGCUUAUCUGGGGUUGAGAGAAGCAAAUGUUCUGAUAAAUGGGGUCAACUGCAAAAGGCCUGCUAGCACCUAGUGCUCCGCUCACAGCCCGCCUGCACCCAAGCAUUCUGUUGCAAGUGCUCAGCUCACAGCCCACCUGCACCCAAGCAUCUUGUCUACAAGCUUUCAGCUCACAGCCCAUCUGCACACAAGCAUCUUGUUUGCAAGCACUCAGCUCACUGCCCACCUGCACCCAACCAUCCUGUCUGCAAGCACUCAGCUGAAGGAGCACCACCUUAUAAAACUUUCCCUCCAGCCCCUGCCUCUUUGCAGACAGCAGACAACCUUCCUUCUGCUGUCUUACCCAUUGCAUCCUUGCAGUGCAUGUCCUCCUUU